AUCUUCCAGUGAGCUAGGUUCACAGUGAAAACACUACCAAGCUUUGGGUACUCUUCACGAAGCAUUACAAUCGGGCCUUUCAAGAAGCGGAAUAACCCUCCAACCACUGGCCAACCGCUCACAACUGGAGGCAGACGUUUUCUAGAUCUAGGCAUAACAAAGGCGGAGAUAAGCUUGGCCACUAUUAGAGUGGCCACGAUGAGGACACCCAUAUU
rnacentral:misc_RNA from 1 species